AGCGAACGCUGGCGGCAGGCUUAACACAUGCAAGUCGAGCGGGCACUUCGGUGUCAGCGGCAGACGGGUUAGUAACACGUGGGAACGUACCCUUUGGUUCGGAAUAACGCUGGGAAACUAGCGCUAAUACCGGAUACGCCCUUUUGGGGAAAGGCUUGCUGCCGAAGGAUCGGCCCGCGUCUGAUUAGCUAGUUGGUUGGGUAAUGGCCUACCAAGGCGACGAUCAGUAGCUGGUCUGAGAGGAUGAUCAGCCACACUGGGACUGAGACACGGCCCAGACUCCUACGGGAGGCAGCAGUGGGGAAUAUUGGACAAUGGGCGCAAGCAUGAUCCAGCCAUGCCGCGUGAGUGAUGAAGGCCUUAGGGUUGUAAAGCUCUUUUGUCCGGGACGAUAAUGACGGUACCGGAAGAAUAAGCCCCGGCUAACUUCGUG
rnacentral:rRNA from 1 species